UCGGCUAGCAUAUAAGAAAAGCGAGAAACAAUAUCGCUUGCUAUCUCGCUCUUCUGCAUUGGCAGCGACGGCGACGCGACAGCAGCCACCCCUCACCAUCUCGGCUAGUAAGCGCUUAGUCUAUUUUACCGGGCUCUGAAGUUGCCACCUGCAAGCGACAAACACAUCUUGCCGUUCUUUAAUUUUCGGCUGCCUAACCCGUAUGUAUCAUAUUUGCACAGAAGGCACAAUGCAGGCGUUGAUCAACAGCAGUUAGGAAUAAGCAAAAGCAGUAUAAUGACAUGAGCACCAGAGAUAUUUCUGAGGUGAGACCUUUUUCGCUCAACCAAAUCACUAUGUAGCUACAGCAUUCAUACGAGGUGUCACUGCUGGAACAAUAAUUAUGAGGCGCUCUAGGCAAACAUACCAUAAAAUAAUACCAGGGAAAGCCACCCGCCAUUAAGGUUUCAGGAACUGGUGCUUAUUCUGGUACAGGAAACGGUAUGGGUUGAGACCUGUGUGAUUUGUCUGGUUGUCAGGAACUGGCAGAGAAAAUAGCUUAUAGUGGGUUGUGGCUUCAAUAUACUCAUCAUGAGCUUGAAAAUAAAAUCUAGAGUGCGCUCGCUGGCUGAGAUUCAUCAAUCGGGUGGAUGGGUCGGCGCAGCCAACUUCUUGAUACACUUUGGCUAUGGCAUCGCAGAUUUUCGAUCAUUUCAAAAUAAUAAAUAAAAUAAGUUCGUGUUUCUUAUACAGAUAGAUGGACAUGGCAAUAUCGACUCAGCUUGUCUUGCCGAUUGAGAAAACAUAUAAAAAUAAUAACUCCUUCCUCCUGUUUUAUUUGUGCAUCCGUUCAAUUUCAUUAUACCAUGAAUGAUUUUCCAUUAUUUAAAAAAAUAUCAAAGUGUAAGUGUGUCGCGAUAAGGUAAUAAUAUUGUCUAACGGUAUUAUCGUAGGUAUUUCGUCUUGCUGCUUGAGAAUAAACAAAAUGACUGAAAAUACCGGAAAAUAUGCGGUAAAAAUAAGGACGUGCCUGAGUCAUUCAAUUGUUUUGCAUGCAUUAUGAUUUUUUUUUAAAUAUUUUACUAUGAUCAACGUUGUUUUGCACAACUUAUUGUGUAAGAAUGGAGUUAAUAUUUAAAAACAAAACGCUCUUACUAUCCGAGAACAGGAUAAUCAUUUAUUCAUAACUUUUACCAAAGAUCUAAAAAAAUAACUCUAUAUUUCAUUCACAAUAAAAACGCCGCCUUAUAAGUUAUAACGUAAUUCAA